rnacentral:lncRNA from 7 species
AUUUCUCUCUGAAAGACCCUGCUCGCUCUCCUGGCUCUCUUGAAUUAGAGGCAGCAGCAGAAUGGCAAUGAUCCACCUCCCUUUGAGCAUCCCUGCACGGCGCGGCGGUAAAAGCGGCUUAAUGUUCCGUGGGGCUCUGGCUGAGCACAGCAAAUAGCAAAAGGGGGUCACCGUGCGCUUCCAGGGCUGGGAGGAAAGGGGCUGCAGCACCAGGAUGUGAAAUGAGACUGAAGCAGCAGCUUCACAGCGCCGGGGACCUGCAGUUAAUCUCGUUUAGGCUGUACUUAACUGUGUAUUUCUUCAGCAUCUGAGGAGGACUUUCGCGUUACCUGCUCUCCUGCUGAUUGUUUCUGCUAUCGCACUGCUUUCUGACCUAGGGUAUGCAUUUGUAAGCGGGCUGCAGUCAGACUAUCCACUGCCUCACUUGGAGGUGCUUUUCCCCACUCACUACCGUGCAAAGGCAACGUCCCAGAGCUGCUUUCUGAAGUCAGAAUCUGUUUCAACUCAUUCCACAGUAGCUGCAGUGCAGGAAUCUGUUAAGAAGUGCUAAAGGAAAGCGUGUGGAGGAGCAGCACACACCAAUAUGGGCUCUCUUGCCCGACCCAACUGGCAUGCACGUCGAUUCCCAGCCCAGAGGAGGGAUGGAGCCAGCACUUCUACUGUUUUUCUGUCACCUGCUCAUUGCACCAUUCAGCCCUCUCGAUCACCUUUUUGUCCCAGCUCACACAGGCUGUGUGGUGACCACAUAAAGCUCAGCACGUGGGGGGUCAGGGCAAGGAAUCUCAGUGCUUGGCUGUUCCUGGGGACUGAGCCUUCAGCCGGAGCACUUCAGCAGUGCUGGUGUGUCCCUGGGAUGGAGCUGUCUCUCCUUUAAACCUGCACAGUAGCCGAAGGAUUUCCCUCGCCUUUUCCUUCAUGUUCCUGAAUCCCCAGAGGUUUGUCAUCAAACAUCCUCAUUCGUGACCCCCAAGGAAAAGGUCUUCUCAACAAGUCCUGUUUUAAUAACUCUUAUUGUCCCAACCUGCUUUCUGAAAAAGCAAAAGUGUCUUUAUGACCACACCUGUUCUGUAUCACCUGUCUGACUUUUCUUCAGUAGCCACCAAUGCUGUGACAUUUUCUUGCUCUAGCUGUGAACACCUGGAAACCCAGGCAGCAUCAGCAAAGCUCAGUGCUGUUCUUGUGCUCGUCAGCCCGUGAGAGAAGCUGACUGAAGACUGUGGUGACUGGACCACAACUGCCCCAGCACAUUUAAUUUCAAGAGAGAGUCAGCUGUUUUGUCAGCAUUCUUGCAGCAGCCUGAAUUGUACUUAAGUGGGCAAAUUAAGGGAAUAAGGGGCUCAUUUAGUGAUGCUGUAUGGAGAAUUCUGUCUCCUGCAGACCUGGCCAAUGUGAUCAGAAGAACUCACAGGUGAUAUUGGACCAAAAGUAUGUUCAGGUGUGGGCCCCACCUCACCCCACUGUCCAAGAAGACUGUUAAUGUUGAGGAUUGUCUCUAGAAGCCACAUCCAGAAAGUGUUUCUGCUCCUUUCGCUGUGGAAUGAAAGCUGUACAUCACAAACUGGGACAGUAAGGAAUAACCAGCCUACCUGGCAGCAAUGAGAAACAUCCCUGAUGGCUUCCUUUGGCCAAGAGCAGCUAAUCACAAGCUAAAAUUCCUAUAAUGCAGGAGAUAGGAAUGCACGGCACAAGGAGAGCUCAUGACCUGAGAAACAGGAUCUACACGUGAGUAAAUCUGGAGGAUGAAGGUGACUGCCCAUCACCAGCUGUUCUGAGUGGAAAUCUAGCACAGCAGAAUGCUGGGGCCAGGAAGGACAGCAUUUGCACAGUGCACACUGCCCACUGGAUAGAGUGCUUUUUCAGAGCUGUGUCUUUACACCUUUGCAAUCCAAGUAAAGUGG